UACGUAGGGUCCGAGCGUUGUCCGGAAUUACUGGGCGUAAAGAGCUCGUAGGUGGUUUGUCGCGUUGUUCGUGAAAACUCACAGCUCAACUGUGGGCGUGCGGGCGAUACGGGCAGACUAGAGUACUGCAGGGGAGACUGGAAUUCCUGGUGUAGCGGUGAAAUGCGCAGAUAUCAGGAGGAACACCGGUGGCGAAGGCGGGUCUCUGGGCAGUAACUGACGCUGAGGAGCGAAAGCGUGGGGAGCGAACAGG
rnacentral:rRNA from 1 species